rnacentral:tRNA from 1 species
UGGGGAGUGGUGUAAUGGUAGCACUGCGGACUUUGGAUCCGUUAAUCCAGGUUCGAGUCCUGGCUCCCCAG